rnacentral:piRNA from 1 species
UGUUGUUCCGUGAGAAUUUUCUGACC